rnacentral:lncRNA from 1 species
GAAAAACUGAGCAAAAACAUUUCCAAAGUGUUUUCUGUCUUUCUGAAUAAUGAAUUGAACUUUAAUAUUUAUUAAAUACAAAAUAGUAAUAAAUUACAAUUGCACAAUUUCUUACAGUUUUUAUUAAGAUCGAAACUUAUUUGUUCAGACUAGAUUUAUAGAAAUAAAUCACAGUACAUUUUUACUUGUGUUCAGAAGAUUGUAAUACAUAUUACAAAAUUAAGAAUUUCUUUGUCCCUCAAACCAUCACUGCGAAAAGAAUCAUGCAUUAUUUCUACUAAACAAACAAAAUGCCCACCUAAUUGAGAGAGCCUCGAUACAGGUAUGGCCCUGCUCUCCAAAAUUAGACAUGAAACAUAGAGAUACCAGGACUACUUAUUGAACAAGAAAUAAUAAAGUAUAGUACAAUGUUGAUGUGCUACCAAAACCAAAAGGAUACCAAAAAAACAACACACCUCUCUUCACACACCUUUGCAACGGGUAUCGAGGAUGGCAGCUGGCCAGCAUGCAACCGAGUAAAACACCUCAGUUUUACAACGUCUAUGUUUGAGCAGAAAGGAGGAGGAACUAAAGAGCCCAGAGAAAACAGAGGAGCAAAUGAAGAGCCCAGGUGUUUGCAUCUCCCGUCACCUCCCCCUGUGUGCCACGUGCGAUGCCUUCCAUGGCGGGCAGCGCUGCCGCCCCUCUCUGCGUGCCUCCAGGGAGAUGGGUGUGCUCCCAGGGAAUGCAGGGCCCUGGAGAUGGGUGUGCUCCCAGGGAAAUGCAGGGCCCUGGGGAUGGGUGUGCUCCCAGGGAAAUGCAGGGCCCUGGGGAUGGGUGUGCUCCCAGGGAAAUGCAGGGCCCUGGGGAUGGGUGUGCUCCCAGGGAAUGCAGGGCCCUGGGGAUGGAUGUGCUCCCAGGGAAUGCAGGGCCCUGGAGAACUCCCAGCUGGGGUUCCUUGCCCAACCCACUGUGUGGGAAAAGAGCUGUGAGCACAACUCCUGGAGCUGCCUGGCCUUGGGCGCCGCUGGAAUACAGCUGGCACCUGGCGCACACGCUGCCAGGCUGUCACCUUCAAUCAUGGUGGCACUAAUUGCAGCAAGAUCCAGGGUCACCAAGUCUGUCCCACUGCCCUUUUCUGCAGCACAGGGGGCUGCUGUUAAAUUCUACAGUGUUGUGGAUUACUCUCACUAUAUGAUUUUUUUUUCCUACUAGAUAAGAGAUCCAUUGUUUUCUCUCUUGAUACUGAGAUGCAAUCAUUUGGCAAUGCACUGUUCUAAGGGGAAAAAAGCAUUUCAUCAAUGACACUUCAGAGGGAGUCACCUGAUCGGCUUUUUUCACUUCCUUCUGUUCAAACAAAAUGUAUUAACAACAAAGUCAUUUCUGAUGGAUUUCUAGCUGGGUCAAACAGAUUUUUCAACUGAAUUUCCUGGUCCCCGUUUAUUGUUUGUUACUUUUAAACCAAAAGAGUUUUCAGCUAUUUUUUAUUUCAGUUGCAGACAUGUCCCCUCAGCGCUGGAAUGUUGCUAGGUGAUAAGCAUGUAAAUCAAUAUAUCUCUUAUGUCCCUGGCUUUGGGUGCUCAUGUUAAUAUAGCUACAUACCAUGCUUGGUGUUUAAAACACAUGAAAGAAACCAAACUAAACCAAAUCAAACCAAACCAAACCAAACCAAACCAAACCAAAGAAUAAAAACAACCCAAAAGCCCCCUCAGCAACCAUCCCCUCAAGCCAGGAAGGGUGGGCUAAAAUAACCUCUUUUUCCCAUUCUUUUGCAUUGUCCUUUGCUGUUGUUUCAUUUUGUAUUGAUCCAGGAGUUCCCCUAUGAGCAAUUGAAUUGUACCUUUAUGUAACAACUGUCUCACACAUGCUGCUUCUGUGUUUUAUGGAUCUGCUGGCAUGGAAAACUGAGCCAUGCAAUGGCUGGUAAGAACAAUUUUAACACUGGGCCUUUUAUGCUACAUAUUGUUUUUCUGUUCUGGUAGUCCCUGCUUCCCCAGAUUGAGAUGACUGUUUGCUUAUCCACUGCCAGGGCUAUUUGCAGGGGAAAGCAAAACAAAAGAAAACAGAAAUGCUUUUAAUGUCUUGUGAUUUCAGUGGAAGCAGAUAAGGAGAUAUCUGAGCACUGAGCUGCAGAGGAGUUGUGCUGCGAGUGUUUUGUCACGGGAAUAUCAGGCCAAGGUACUCGGCCUCACUGUCAGUAACUCUGAAGGUUUUCCCAUUGCCACUCACUGCUUUGUCACAGAACAGCACCUGACACAGAGGCUUGUUACGGAAAACUAGAGGUAAGAAUUUAAUAGCACAUUGUUAAAGAGCAAAAUGGGAUUAAAAUCUUGCUGAGAUGCAUUUCUAAGCAAUUCUCUUUUCUAUUUCAGAGUUAUGAUAGUUGUCACACAGUGUAAUAAUGCAUUCACAGCAAAUAAGAAAAUAAAUGAGGGUUUCAGCUUUGAAAUCAUUCUUGUGAGUCUACUGGUGAUUACAACCGAGAAUCACAGCUCAGAGAAGAAAGACUGAGCAGCAUUGGGACCACAGCUUGCCCUGGGUUUGUAGCAGAAUUAUCUAUCCUCUGGUCCUUCCAGCAGGCUCUGGUAUUAUUCUAAUACAGCCCAAAGACAGCAGCAGUCUACUGGCCAACCAGAACCAGAACAGAAAAAUAUUUAGGGUCUAGGGAAUAUCACUGGCUGAGUAUAAAGGUGAAGAGUGAAGUAUCCAAAUAUAGAAAAUAUCUAUCACUCCAUAGAUGCACUACUAUGAUAAGGCAGGUAUUUGUAAAAAGCACAUAGUAAUGCCACAGCCUGAGUGACAGUUUGCAAGUCAUGAGCAAAAAUUAGGAGAAUUCAAUAAAUUUAGGGGGUUUUAUUCAUUAUAAGCCUUUGAAGUCUGCUGGAUUCCACUUUAAAUGCUCACUGUCACAGAGAUUUCUUUCCCUGUUUUAGUAGAACUCCGUUCAAAAUAAUUCUUUUGAUGCAUUAAGUAAACUGAGCAUCGUAAUAAAACAGAAGAACUGCAACCCACUGGCAAUUAUAAUAAUACCACUUUUCAGCUGAUGUCCCUUUGAGCUGCUGGGGACAAAUCCUAGAAAGGCUCCUGCACUUUUCCAUGGACACAAAUGGAGCCUGCUGUGUAGGUGUUUUCCCCUUCCCAGCAGUUUCUGUUGCUAAUAUUGCAGUGGGAAGCAUGCCUGCUCUGCAUUCCAGGCAGAGAUGCAAUGUAGAAUGAUUUGUCCAGGAAAUCAGAGAACUCCACUCCGAGGAGGAGCUCCUCCUCCUUUCCUCAGGCCCAUCUCCCCUCAGUGACUCCUGGGCAGGUACACCCUUGCCGGUGGUAGCUGUAUUCCCCAUGGCAUGGCAAGAGAUUUUUGAAAAGCACUGUGCCCACAGGAACUCUGAUUUAUACCUGCAGCAUACAUUUACAGCAGAUCCAAGAUCUCCUGCAAGUUCCAGGACAUUCUUUACCCACAAGUAAUUCUGGUUUUGUGGAAGAUCCUCAUUGAUAGGAUAUAAAACUAAUUUUUUAGACUUGAGGCCAAAAUUUUAGAUAUUUCUUCAAAUCUGUGCAUGCAUAUUUGUGUCAGCAGAGUUGCAGGUCCAAAAUGCUUGGUGAACACUCAUCACAUGCAAGAUGUGAAGCAAUGUGUGUGCACAUAAACUUGUCUGAACUCUAUCUAAUGACCAGGGCUCCCUCUCUGUAAUUACACAGCAGACAGCUGUAUUGUAUAAAACAUCCAUACUUUGCAUUUGCAUCUUUUAAACAAAAAGUUCCCAUGUAAAGAUGUGAGUCAAGUUCUCUGUAGAAGACACUGGACGAUGAGAGAACUCCAUGCAUGGCUAAAUGAGUGGUGAAAAAUUUAUUCCAGGGUCUCCUGCUUUGGGGUACAAAUUUCAUUACGUGACAAAAUGCAGUGCUUUGAUUCAUUUUCUUUUAAUGGUCAGAAUUUGUCGGAAUAUACAAUAUACCACCAUGUAAACCAGCCCUGCUAACUCUACCACAAAUAGUAAAGGAAGUCUUCACAGGCACUAUAUAUUUGGAACAGCAUUUUCAGAUGACAUGGGGCAUGUGUGUGUGUUUGUUUGCAUGAUCCAGCAUUGCCACCCGGGACACACUUCCAACAGUUUGCAGUGUCGUGGACACGACUCAGAAAUGUUGACUGGAAAAUCAUCCACAAAGGUUGAGGACUAACAACCUCCAUGUUAUACAGAUGGUUAUCUCCUUUCUCAAAGAACAUGCUGUCAUUACAAAUACCAUAUGCAUCUUGUUCUCACCCAGCAGAACUUUUUUUACAGUUUUUCAGAUUUGAAGAUUUCUGCAAGGAACCAUAUUAAUUUGUUUUCACGUCAGGUGAAAGGAGGCACCAGCUGAGACUGAGGACGCAACUUGUCAUCAAAAAAUAAGAAUCUGAUGGCAAUCAUUCUUGAAAAAGAAUACUUAGAAAGCUAAUCAUUCACAAUACUGCACCUUUUUUGCAAGUACAAGGACAAUAUUUGUUGCUGCUUCCCAUAUUUGUUGGUUUACAUUGCUAUCAUUUUGCUUGUAAACCUGGGUUAUUCUACUGAACAGAAAUGAUGACUCGAAUUUGGGUAAUGCUUACGACCAUACAAAUAAUCUAUCAGUAGCAGUAGUGUCAGCUGGAGAAUUAAUGCUACAAGUGGAUAACAUCACGCUGUUUGAAACCAAUAGCUCUUCACACAGUAGAAGACUGAGGGUCCUAUUCAGCAAAUAUUCAGGGUCCUAUGGCUGUGGCCACAGAGGUUCCAGAAGCUCUCGCUGAGUCUAAUCCUGAUUCAGGAACCAAAAUGAUAUGCUGUGUAUGUAUUUCUCUGCACAGCCUGGAUGCGCUGGACACCCUCCCCCACUUGAUUCCUGGGAAGGAAAAACAUAUGUCUCUGUUUAGUUUUCAGUGACAUGAGAAGCAAUCCACAGCAAUGAAAUCUAAAGAAGUUAGCCAGGCAUGUAUGAAAAGAACAGGAUGCCUGUGAAAAGGGAACAGCUGUCAAAACCUAAUUGUGGGCUCUGGCUGCAAUGAAAUUUAUCAAAGAGGGAAGACAGGUUGGAUAUAAGGAUGUAGACAAGGAUGUCUCUUCUGCUAAGAGACACUUGUGCUCUGGGUGACAGUAACCCUCACACCACACCUCGUGUGCUGUGUCAGGACAUUCCUGCCAACACCUGGCUGCAGCAGAGAGCUCUCAAGUGCCCAGGUCAGCAUUUCAAGCGUGGCACUUCAGCCAGCACCUACCCUGUCACUGGGGGCACAAGCACCUGGGCAGAGCUGCCCCACUGCUGGCAGCAGCUGUGGUGAGAAGGCAUGGAGCCUUCCUCCUGCCCCACAGCCCGUGGGCACUCCCUGCUCAGCCUGUGCUGCUGUGGCACCAGGAAACACAAUUCCUUAUGGACACAGGACAAGACUGUGGGAUUCUUCCCAGCUUGCAACAUCUUCCUAAUGCCUGGCAAUCUUUUCUGGG